rnacentral:rRNA from 1 species
AUACGGAGGGGACAAGCGUUAUUCGGAAUCACUGGGCGUAAAGGACGCGUAGGCGGGUUAUUAAGUCGGGUGAGAAAUCCAAUGGCUCAACCAUUGAACUGCAUUCGAAACUGAUAACCUAGAGUAUGGAAGGGGCAGGUGGAAUUAGUGGUGUAGGGGUAAAAUCCGUAGAUAUCACUAGGAAUACCGAAAGCGAAGGCGACCUGCUGGGACAUUACUGACGCUGAGGCGUGAAAGCGUGGGGAGCAAACAGGAGUAGAUACCCCAGUAGUCC